ensembl:lncRNA
GGGAGAGGAAGGGGAGAGGAGGGUGAAGUGAGGGGGGCGGCCUGAGGGGCCGUCUGCUCCCCCACAGGAAACCGCUGGGGAGGCGGGUGCCAGGCAAUAGGCUAAAUCCUUUACAAUAUUUUUUUUUUCAUUUAAUCCUAACCCUAUAGCGUGGGGACCAUUAUCCUGGAUAAGUCAGAUGAGUCAUGGAGAGACUAAAUAGCUUUACCCCCAUGGUCAGGAUUUGAACCCACAGUUCUCUGACCCCGGGCUCUUAACCCCUUCCCUAAACCUUGCUCUUCCUCCCCGGAGGCCCCCUCACCCAGGGGAGACUGCCCCUUUCCCCAGUUCAGAUGCCAGACCUCUCCCAGACGCUCUGCCACAAUGUCCAGGGCCCGGGCUCUCCACCCCUCUUCUCAGAGCCCCCUCCACGAGUGUGUCCAGCUGGCCCAGCUCUGGUCGUGCAGGAUUAAUGAAUGUUGGACUAUGGCAUCAAGCCAGACCCAGGCCAGCCUUGCAGAGCCCAGCCCAGGGCUUCUGCUGGCCCCUGUGCCCUUCUGCCACCAGAGCACAGGGCAGAGGUGUGUUUGGCUCUGGGCUAAACCUGCUGGUGCAUGUGCAUGCAUUUCCACCCAGGCUCGGGGCUCGUGCCUGCAACAUGUGUGUGAUCAGCAUGCGGCCAGGUCUUCUUCCUGCCCAGACUCCCAGGCCCCCCCUUUCAGGCCCCCCUUCCUGUGCUGGGCCUGGGGUGAGGGGGAGGCCUUCUUGGCAGGAGCCUUAGAGAGGAGGAGGGAAGGAAGGGGGGAGAGGAAAUUGCAGACAUAGCUGAAGGCACAGCCUGAGGCCUUGGGGCCAGUGACCCCCCUUUCUGUCCAGGCUGGAGACCCCCGCUCCCAGUCCUGAGUCUGGGUUCAAGCAGAGGGCAGAUCUGGUUGGGAAAAGAACUAGGAUGACUACCAUGGGGGAGGGGAGAGGGGCUUUUGGUGUCUCUGUGACUGUUUAGUCUGUUCUAUGAGUGUGUGUGGAGGUAUGUCUGCCUAUGUUUGUAUAUCUGUGUCUAUUUUCGUGUUGUAUCUGCCUGAGCACUUUUGUGGGGUUGAGUAUGUCUGUGUAUCAGUCCAUUCAGCCGCUGGUCAACAAACGCUAAUUGGUCUGCUUAGCGCUUCCUAGUAAUGGGCUUCAGCAGUAAACAGCAAGGACGCAAAUCUUGGCUCUCGUGGAGCUGCCACUAAGGCGGAGAGACAGACAAUACGCAGGGAAGAUGGUCGUGGGUGCUGCUGAGUGCUCAGAGGGCGAUGGAGUGGGGCGGUGGGGUGAAGAACACCUGGGGCAGCUCUCGCACAUGACAUGGGGAGAGGCUUGAAUCCUGAAGAAGGGGCAGCUGAGCUGAGGUCUGCAGGAGGGUGUCGGGCAGGAAAAAGGCUGAGGGCCCCCGAGGUAGGGGUGUCUGGCCUCACCUGGCUCCUGGGGUCACAAGGGAGGGUGAGGGGGUGAUUGUGAAGGGGCUGGCAGGCCUGAGGAGGCGCUUGGAUGUUAUUGCAAGUGUG